rnacentral:lncRNA from 1 species
CUUGUAAGCCCAGCAGUUUGGGAUGCCAAGGCGGGCGGAUCACAAGGUCAGGAGUUCGAGACCAGCCUGGCCAAAAUGGUAAAACCCUGUCUCUACUAAAAAUAUAAAAAUUAGCCGGGCAUGGUGGCUCACUCCGAAGACUAUUUUUAAAGUAGAGAGAAAAUCACAAUAAAUAAAUAUGUGAGAGUGCAUGUAUUGGAAGUCAGAAGAUAGUAGGAAAAUAUCUUCACUGUGUGGUGAUGAAAAAUAACUUUCAGUUAAGAAAUGCAUAAGAAAAUAAUCCUUUAAAAAUAAGGGUAGAAGAAAGAUGAUUUCAAUUUAAAAAUUAAUUGAGAA